ACAUCCCUGCUCAUACAUAGAAACACAGGUGCCUGCAAAAUAUGUCCCAGUCAGUUGUUGAUUACAAAAUUGCAGUCAUCGAUUUCAUUGCCUACAAUCACACACACACACACACACACAUCUGUGCUCACACACCCUCCCUGCCUUCCCCUCAUAUCACAAUACACAUACUUCACCAAACAGCCCUCCCACACACACAUCUCCUCCUCCCCAGAGGAGGAGGGAUUCUCCUGGUCCUUGGUUUAAAGGUGUGGCCUGAGGGCCGAUUCCUCUGAAAAGCAGUCUCCUGAGAGAAGGAUCCCCCGCUGCUCCCCACCUUCCUACAGUCCUGUGCCCCCACUUGUCCUGCUCCUGAGGGAGGCGAGGCAAGGUGAUCCGAUCCGCAGUGGCUCUGGCGACAGCGAUCUGAAGUCAACGGGCCGGAGAACUUGGGUAAGACCUGCCCGCAUCUGGUCCUCAGUUUUCCCAGUUGUGA
rnacentral:lncRNA from 1 species